rnacentral:rRNA from 1 species
AACGACUCUCGGCAACGGAUAUCUCGGCUCUCGCAUCGAUGAAGAACGUAGCGAAAUGCGAUACUUGGUGUGAAUUGCAGAAUCCCGUGAACCAUCGAGUCUUUGAACGCAAGUUGCGCCCGAAGCCGUUAGGCCGAGGGCACGCCUGCCUGGGCGUCACACG